rnacentral:rRNA from 1 species
CCUACGGGUGGCAGCAGUGAGGAACAUUGGUCAAUGGGCGCGAGCCUGAACCAGCCAAGUAGCGUGAAGGAUGACUGCCCUACGGGUUGUAAACUUCUUUUAUAAAGGAAUAAAGUGAGGCACGUGUGACUUUUUGUAUGUACUUUAUGACUAAGGAUCCGCUAAUUCCUUGCCAGUCGCCGCGGUAAUACGGAGAAUCCGAUCUUUAUCCGGAUUUAUUGGGUUUAAAGGGAGCGUAGAUGGGUUGUUAAGUCAGUUGUGAAAGUUUGCGGCUCAACCGUAAAAUUGCAAUUGAUACUGGCAGUCUUGAGUACAGUUGAGGUAGGCGGAAUUCGUGGUGUAGCGGUGAAAUGCUUAGAGAUCACGAAGAACUCCGAUUGCGAAGGCAGCUUACUAAACUGCCACUGACAUUGAUGCUCGAAAGUGUGGGUAUCAAACAGGAUUAGAUACCCUUGUAGUC